GGAACAUAGAAGCGUCCUGGAUGGUGAUUCAGGGACGCUUCGUUCAGUGUAGAAACCAGGCUGCUUUGGAGUCGGCAAGGCAACAUCACUGCUCAACAUCAGAACCACAGAUGACAUUCUUGGUCUAUCCUCAGGUCCAAAGCCACCUUCUCCCAGCUUGUUGCAGUUUGAAAAGCCGUUGGUGGCUUUAGCUAUGGUGGUCAAGUCAAACAGUGGUAACUCCAUGUCUUCCCCGUCUUCUCCACGGUACUCUUCUCUGCAAUCCUUUGGUCUGAGUCCUGAAAUAGUAGAAGAUUCUUCAGCAUGGAUAAAAAGAUGUGAACAGUUAGCUACACUAUCGAAAUUAAAUACUGCCUUAUCAAA